rnacentral:rRNA from 1 species
UGGGGAAUAUUGCACAAUGGAGGGAACUCUGAUGCAGCGACGCCGCGUGAGUGAUGAAGGACUUCGUUUCGUAAAACUCUGUUCUAUGGGAAGAAAAGGACUGUACCAUAGGAGCAAGCUCCGGCUAAAUACGUGCCAGCAGCCGCGGUAAUACGUAUGGAGCGAGCGUUGUCCGGAAUUAUUGGGCGUAAAGGGUGCGCAGGCGGCUUUACAAGUUGGAUGUGAAAUAUUGUGGCUCAACCACAAACGUGCAUCCAAAACUGCAAAGCUUGAGUUAAGGAGAGGUAAGUGGAAUUCCUGGUGUAGCGGUGGAAUGCGUAGAUAUCAGGAGGAAUACCGGUGGCGAAGGCGACUUACUGGACUUAAACUGACGCUCAGGCACGAAAGCGUGGGGAGCAAACAGG